rnacentral:rRNA from 1 species
GAUGAACGCUGGCGGCGUGCCUAAUACAUGCAAGUCGAGCGAACAGACGAGGAGCUUGCUCCUCUGACGUUAGCGGCGGACGGGUGAGUAACACGUGGAUAACCUACCUAUAAGACUGGGAUAACUUCGGGAAACCGGAGCUAAUACCGGAUAAUAUAUUGAACCGCAUGGUUCAAUAGUGAAAGACGGUUUUGCUGUCACUUAUAGAUGGAUCCGCGCCGCAUUAGCUAGUUGGUAAGGUAACGGCUUACCAAGGCGACGAUGCGUAGCCGACCUGAGAGGGUGAUCGGCCACACUGGAACUGAGACACGGUCCAGACUCCUACGGGAGGCAGCAGUAGGGAAUCUUCCGCAAUGGGCGAAAGCCUGACGAAGCAACGCCGCGUGAGUGAUGAAGGUCUUCGGAUCGUAAAACUCUGUUAUUAGGGAAGAACAAAUGUGUAAGUAACUAUGCACGUCUUGACGGUACCUAAUCAGAAAGCCACGGCUAACUACGUG